GGAGAGGUGCUGGAGUGGACGAUCAGGCACGCCUGGAGAGCGUGUAGGCAGAAAUGCCUCGCGGGUUCGAAUCCCGCCCUCUCCGCCA
rnacentral:tRNA from 1 species